CUGGGUUGUUUCUGUAAACACAUUGUUGGGUUGUUUAUGCUGGGUCAAAAUUCUGGGUUGUUUGGAGUACUUUAAACACACUGUUGGGUUGCUCAUGCUGGGUCAAAUGAAAUGUAGUGGGUAAUUUACAAAUGAACACAUGGUUGGGUAAAUUUGACCCAGCAAAUGGUUUAUUUUCCUUUCAUUGGCUGGCCGUUUCUCAAGGCAGCCUUCACAAUGUUCAAAAUAUUAUCAUUUAAAUAUUACCAAAUGUAGUUUUAAGAGUUUUUUAGGCGACAAUGUAUGUGUGUAAAGUUCAAAACUUCGAUCGGUUUUUGAAGAUAGCGUAUAUUUAAAAAUGUGCUCCAACGAUGUCGAAGCUUCGAGAUUCAGGCAAUCACUGGGCGCUCUGCGCUGAUGUACCCGCCCAACACAGCCUCACCUCGGCACGUCAUUCUGGAAAUCACCGCUGGCUGUAAUGUCUCUGUAGUGUUUAGAACGGCGGAUUUAUUUCAUUUCGGGUCUCAUAAAUCUAUUAUUUGUUCCUUGCCAAGUCCGAAUUAAGUUACGUUACUGUAAGGAUGCAAGUUCUGCCAUUUUUUGUCGAACUUUCUGGAGGACUUCAUUUCCUCUGAAGCGAGGUGCACGCCACUCAAAGCGGGCAGUAUUUUAUGCCAGGAUCAUUUUGAAAAACAAACACCUGGUUGGGUUAUUUUGACCCAGCAAUUGGUUUAUUAAUUGCCGCACUUUCUGGAUUCUUCGCUUCUGACUGGAUCACGCUACUCGGACCAGGCGGUAUUUCAUGAGUUCAGUAGAAUCCACUGAAUUGACCCCAACAGAUCAUAUCACCAUGACAGUGGAACUUUUUUCAGCCUUUGCAGUUUGUCAGAUUUUGGAAAGCACCCCUGAGAGGAAAUCCGUAUUAAACCGUUAAAGUGCAAGCAAUUACCAACAAGCAGAGGAGGCUACUUGUGAGACUCCUUGCAUCCCAUCUGCUGGAAACCAAUGGUGAAACCUGAGCCAUCAUCAGACACUAAGAAGGCAUGUGACAAGGCAUUGGUGUAUGAAUUUCCUUGCCUGAAGGAUAUACAGCUGCUAAAGGGGAAACAGCACUGAAGAUGCCAACUCUGCUAGCUCCAUCCAUUUACAGGGGAGGAGGAGAAGUCUUCAGACCUACCACUGUGGAGGCCCAGAGGUCCUUUAUUGACAUGCAACCUGUGGGGACCAACAUGGUGGAAUAUCUGCAAAAUCAGAGAUGUUGCACGUUUUGUGACUUGGGGACGAGCCAAGAAGGACCUGCCAGACCUUUGCCAUUGUUGGAGGCAAUGCCUCUGAGACAAACUCUUUGGUGAAGGAUGUUGAUAAGUUUUUUUUUGUCUUUGAUGUUAACUACACAAAGCAAUAGGUGUGUUCGACUUCAUGCAGCGCUGCGCAGACCGAUCGGCAGGUGACUUGAAGCAGUGCAUUUUGGUUAGUACUUUUGUCCGACUUCAGCUGGCGCUGCAGGCACGUGACUGUGUCAUAUGGUUUUUAAGUACCGCGAGAGCGUUUCGAGAGCAGCCAGCUGGCUCAGCCGGUGCAGCUUCUCCAGAGCGGCUGCCCGGAGUUGUGAUGACGUAACAGCUUUACUUGAUUGGUCGCUUCAUUGAUGACAACGAUCACGUGCGUUUCAAGUUUAAUCCAACCUUUAGUUUCACUAAUAAACAUUAUAAAUUCAUGUUUUAAAACAGGAAAAAAACACUUUAAUAUCCUAAAAUAUGUUAUAUUGUGUCGUGUAAUAAAAUAAAAAUGAAAAUAACAAACUCUAUUGGUAUUUUAUUAAUAUAGGCUUGUUUCCCGUUAUUUUCGGGUAUACAGUUUAAGCAGCAAUUAAAAUAUUCGAUAUAAAAUGUUUCUGGUUGCAACUUUUUAUCAAAAGGUUUGUUUUUAUCAAAUUCAGCAUCUAAUUCACUUAAUUUGCGAUUAUAAACAAGGAAACACGGCGCACACGUCACUACGGCAAGCAGCAGGUGUCCGGCUUGACGGCUCCGUCUUCAGUUCCUCCCUCGACUGCAAGCGGCAAACCUCGUCGAUCGGUCUGCGCAGCGCCGGAUGAUCUCGAACACACCUAUUGUCUUCCCACCUGGGAGUUUCACCAGGAUGCCAUUUAUCAGAUUGAUGGACAUGAGUCCUCCUCUGUUAACAUUUUGAGGACAACAUUUAAUCACUAAUAAUUAACUAUUUCAGUGCUAUGUUUGAAAGAUUCGCCCACAAUGCAAUGCCAACAGGAGUUUACUUACAGGCUGUGAGGUCAAGUGGGAGGAAUUAUGAUAAUUUCGGUCUUGUCUACGUCACCAAUCCCAGGAAGUAAACUGUUGCCUACAAUCUGUGUUUGUUGUAGUCCAAGAAAAGAGAUCACUCGCAUUAUCGUUUACUUUGGGGGUUUGUACCUUUUGCAUAUCGUUAACAUGAAUUAAUACACAAUUACACACCAAAGGAAAUGUAAAAAUGUGAAUCGGACCAUAGCUGCUCUUUAAAAAAAAUUUUGUUUCAGGGCUUCUUGUUUUUAAUAACAUUUUGAUGAAUGAAAAUGUAAAGUAAAUGAAAUGCUAAUCAUCAUAGUUUAAAUAUUAAGAGUUAUAAAGUCCGUGGGGAUUGUUUGAUGUCAUAAUGGGGUUGUAACUUUUGUAUUAUACAAAUAUACAAAAAUGUAAUUAAAACAUUGUAUUAAAUGUAAAAAAAAAUUAAAUGCAAUUUAAAUCACAUUAACAGGGGCCUCUCAGUUUUGUUUUACAGGGGGUAUUUGUUACAUUUAUUUUAUAUCUAACAAUUUGUCACAUUGGAAUUUUAAGGUUCAAUCUGACAUUUUUGUCAAAAUUCAGUUAUUCACAUAUUUUUAAUCUGUAACAAUUUAUUUACAUUAUGUGAAGUUAUGUACAUUUUUGGGAUGUUUUU